rnacentral:misc_RNA from 1 species
UAAAUUUCACUACAUUUUUAGCAGCAAUUUGAAUUUCUUUUCCUGUUUGAGGGUUUCUACCAGUUCUAGCAGCUCUUUCAGAAACAGACCAAGUUCCCCAUCCAACUAAAGCAACUUUUUCUCCAGCUUUUAAAGAAGUAGUAACGUUA